GGUGGUUCUCAAUCUCUCUUUAACAUGCCCUCUGGGUGCUGCGGAUGCACGUUGAAGGUAGAAGAUCGCUGCAGGAUAUUUCCGCGUCGGGCAGAUGAAAGCGCUCUGCAAGCCUGGGUGUUAUCUGCGGGCCGGGUCCGCGGCUUCUCUGGUGGCACUAGGACCGCGGCGGCGCGGCCCUCGCAGCCACCGCCUCGGGCGUGAGGCGGAGCCUAGCUGUUCCUGGAUCCUGGGCCUGGCUCCUCGACCCGCCCCUGGAGGCGGACCCCACUUGACUUAAACUCUGGGGCCCGGGAGGCCGCCGGUUUUCUCCCUGCUUGCUGGGGUGGUCCUCUUCCCUUUGUCGGACCAAAGAAGUAAACACUGUGUGGAGAGGGACUGAGGUGUUUGGAGGGAAAUGGGAAUGUACACGAUAAUUAAAGAGUAAAGUUGUGCUCAACGCUGUUUACUUCUAAUUAUUUCCUGAUUCACAAAUUAAUUUUUGCAAUUCACAACUUCAAGAAUACUUGGACUAUUGGAUUCAAUCCAUAGUAAUCUGCAAAAGAAGAGAAGCAGAAUUAUACCUAGAAGUCUACUAAUGGACAGUUAGUCACCCACCUACAUGUUGAGAUUCCUGACAUUCAGACAACUGACUUGUAACUGACUUAUAACUGACUUGUAAUACACUGCUACUAUAUCAAACCGACAAUGAAUUGGAAUGAAAAACCAAAGAGUGCUACAUUACCACCACUGUAUCCUAAAAGCCAGCCACCUUUUUUGCACCAGUCUUUAAUAAACCAAAUUACCACAACAUCUCAGAGUUCUUUCAGCUAUCCUGGAAGUAACCAAGAAGCAUGCAUGUAUCCCGGUAAUUCAAAUCCAAUUUCACAGCCACUGCUGAAUAUCCAAAAUUAUCCUCAACAAAUCUCUGUUUCUGAUAUGCAUAAUGGGACAGUUGUGGCCUCACACACUUCAGUAGAAAGAAUAACAUAUGCAAAUGUUAAUGGACCCAAACAACUAACUCACAAUUUGCAGAUGUCUUCAGGAGUUACCCAAAAUGUAUGGUUGAACUCACCAAUGAGGAAUCCUGUGCAUUCUCAUAUAGGGGCAACUGUAUCUCAUCAAACUGAUUUUGGAGCUAAUGUACCCAAUAUGCCGGCACUACAGAGUCAACUGAUAACAUCAGAUACCUAUUCUAUGCAAAUGCAGAUGAUCCCUUCUAAUUCUACACGACUUCCUGUAGCUUACCAAGGAAAUCAGGGACUUAACCAGUCUUUUUCAGAGCAACAGGUUGAUUGGACACAACAGUGUAUAUCUAAGGGACUGACUUACCCAGAUUACAGACCACCUCCAAAGCUAUACCGUUACUCACCACAAAGCUUUUUACCAGAUUCUACCAUUCAAAAACAAAACUUUAUACCACAUACAUCAUUACAAGUUAAAAAUAGUCAGCUUCCAAAUUCUGUAUUAACUUUACCAUCAAAGCAGACCUCAGCUGUACCAUCACAGCAGUAUGCCAUGCAAACUGACAAAAGACCACCUCCUCCUCCUUACAACUGUAGAUAUGGAAGCCAGCCUUUGCAAAGUACUCAGCAUGUUACUAAACACUUGUCUAUGGAAGUUCCUCAGAGUCGAGAAAUGCUGUCAUCUGAAAUAAGGACCAGCUUUCAACAGCAGUGGCAAAACCCUAAUGAAAAUGUCAGCACAAUUGGAAAUUUCACUAACUUGAAAGUAAAUACCAACAGCAAACAGCCUUUUAACAGUCCCAUUAGAUCUUCUGUGGAUGGUGUUCAGACUCUUGCUCAAACUAAUGAAGAGAAAAUAAUGGAUUCUUGCAAUCCAACUUCAAAUCAAGUACUGGACACAAGUGUCGCAAAAGAAAAGCUAGUAAGGGAUAUUAAAACAUUAGUAGAGAUAAAACAGAAGUUUUCAGAACUUGCAAGGAAAAUUAAAAUCAAUAAAGAUCUUUUGAUGGCAGCAGGUUGUAUUAAAAUGACUAAUACUUCUUAUAGUGAACCAGCUCAGAAUUCUAAAUUGUCUCUAAAACAAACUGCCAAAAUCCAGUCUGGACCCCAGAUAACUCCAGUAAUGCCAGAGAAUGCAGAGAGACAAACACCAACAGUAGUGGAAUCUGCAGAAACAAAUAAGACUCAAUGUAUGUUGAAGUCUGACAUUCAGGAAGUCAAUUGCAGAAGGUUUAACCAAGUUGAUUCUGUUUUACCAAAUCCUGUCUAUUCUGAAAAGCGGCCAAUGCCAGACCCAUCUCAUGAUGUGAAAGUUCUCACUUCAAAGACAUCAGCUGUUGAGAUGACCCAGGCAGUAUUGAAUACUCAGCUUUCAUCAGAAAAUGUUACCAAAGUUGAGCAAAAUUCACCAGCAGUUUGUGAAACAAUUUCUGUUCCCAAGUCCAUGUCCACUGAGGAAUAUAAAUCAAAAAUUCAAAAUGAAAAUAUGCUACUUCUCGCUUUGCUUUCACAGGCACGUAAGACUCAGAAGACAGUAUUAAAAGAUGCUAAUCAAACUGUUCAGGAUUCUAAACCAGACAGUUGUGAAAUGAAUCCAAAUACCCAAAUGACUGGUAACCAACUGAAUUUGAAGAACAUGGAAACUCCAAGUACUUCUAAUGUAAGUGGCAAGGUUUUGGACAACUCCUUUUGCAGUGGACAAGAAUCCUCAACAAAAGGAAUGCCUGCUAAAAGUGGCAGUAGCUGUUCCAUGGAAGUGCUAGCAACCUGUCUUUCCCUGUGGAAAAAGCAACCUUCAGAUACUGCAAAAGAAAAGGAGUGUGAUAAACUCAGAACAAACACAACAGCAGUUGGAAUUUCAAAGCCUGCUAACAUCCACGUUAAGAGUCCUUGUUCAGUUGUGGGAAAUUCAAAUUCUCAGAAUAAAAUAAGUAAUCCCUCACAGCAGACAGCUUUGUCGAUGGUAAUGCACAAUUAUGAGUCUUCAGGUAUAAAUAUAACAAAGGGAACAGAACUUCAGAUAGCUGUAGUGUCACCGUUAGUUCUGUCAGAGGUCAAAACAUUGUCUGUCAAAGGAAUAACACCUGCAGUGUUACCUGAAACAGUGUAUCCCGUUAUUAAAGAAGGCAGUGUUUGUAGUUUACAAAAUCAAUUGGCAGAAAAUGCAAAGGCAACUGCUGCUUUGAAAGUUGAUGUUAGUGGACCAGUAGCAAGUACAGCAACAUCAACCAAGAUUUUUCCACUAACUCAGAAGGAAAAGCAGAAUGAGUCAACUAAUGGUAAUUCAGAAGUCACACCUAAUGUCAAUCAAGGAAAGCAUAACAAAUUAGAGUCAGCUAUCCAUUCUAUGAACGAUCAGCAAACCUCACAGGAGUCAAGGAAUAGUACUGUUGUGAGUAGUGAUACAUUACAGAUUGACAAUAUUUGUUCUCUGGUUGAAGGUGAUACCUCUUACAAUUCCCAAAUAGCAAAGAUAUUCAGCUCUCUUCCUUUGAAAAUGGUUGAGCCACAGAAACCUUCUCUACCCAAUCAGCAAGGGAUUGGCAGCAGAGAACGAGAAAAACAAUUAGAUAAUACCACUGAAAAUAAAGACUUUGAUUUUCAAAAAGAUAAACCUGUACAGUGCACAGAUGUUUCACAUAAAAUAUGUGAUCAGUCAAAGUCAGAGCCACCCUUAGAGUCAUCUUUUAACAAUCUUGAAACAAACAGAGUUAUUCUAGAGAAAAGUAGUUUGGAGCAUGCCACUGAAAAAAGCACAGCUAACGAUACGUGCUCGUCAGCUGCUAUUCAGGAGGAUAUUUACCCUCAGGAAAUAGAUGCAUCCAGCAACUAUACUCCCCAAGAUCCUGCAAGAAAUGAAAUCCACAGUGAUAAGGCACCUGUCUUAUACCUACAUGACCAGCUGUCAGAACUUCUAAAAGAGUUUCCUUAUGGCAUUGAGGCUGUGAAUACACGUGAAGGUUCUGUGGGCCAGCAAACUACAUACCAGACCUCAGAAGAUCAAACUGCUGAUAAAACCAGUUCUGACUCCAAAGACCCAGCAGAUCAAAUACAAAUUACAAUAUUAAGCUCAGAGCAAAUGAAAGAAAUAUUUCCUGAACAGGAUGAUCAACCCUAUGUAGUAGACAAGUUGGCAGAACCUCAGAAAGAAGAGCCCAUCACAGAAGUAGUUAGCCAGUGUGACCUGCAGGCACCUGCAGGUGGACAAAGUCGUGAUUCUGUGAUACCGGAUUCUGAGAAAGACGAUAUCCACUGCUGUGCAUUGGGCUGGCUCUCCAUGGUUUACGAAGGAGUACCCCAGUGUCAGUGUAAUUCCAUCAAGAACUCAACUUCAGAGGAAGAGAAACAAAAAGAGCAGUGUUCUCCUUUGGAGACCAACAGUUGUAAACGAGAGAGAACUUCUGAUAGAGAUGUCACUGUUGUUCAAUUUAAGAGCCUUGUAAAUAAUCCAAAGACUACUCCAGAUGGGAAAAGUCAUUUUCCUGAACUACAAGACGACAGUAGAAAAGAUACACCCAAAACAAAACAUAAAAGCUUACCAAGGACAGAACAAGAAUUAGUUGCUGGUCAGUUUUCAUCUAAAUGUGAUCAACUAAAUCCCUUGCAAAAUCACAAAAGAAAAAAAUUGAGGUUUCACGAGGUAACCUUUCACUCCAGUAAUAAAAUGACAGCAUCUUAUGAACAAGCUUCUCAGGAAACCCGACAGAAGAAACAUGUAACACAGAACUCACGUCCACUAAAAGCAAAAACAGCUUUUUUAUCAAAUAAAGAUGUGUAUAAGAAGCAUAGUUCUUUGGGACAGUCAUUAUCACCAGAAAAGAUAAAAUUGAAACUCAAAUCAGUUAGCUUCAAACAAAAACGAAAGUUGGACCAAGGGAACGUAUUAGAUAUGGAAGUAAAGAAAAAGAAACAUGAUAAACAAGAACAGAAAGGAAGUGUGGGAGCUACAUUCAAAUUAGGUGACUCUUUGUCAAACCCAGACGAAAGAGCCAUUGUUAAAGAAAAGAUGGUAUCAAAUACUAAGUCUGUAGACACGAAAGCGAGUUCAUCUAAAUUUAGUAGAAUUCUAACUCCUAAGGAGUAUUUACAAAGGCAGAAGCAUAAAGAAGCUCUGAGUAAUAAAGCAUCGAAGAAAAUCUGUGUGAAAAAUGUGCCAUGUGAUUCUGAACAUAUGAGACCAAGUAAACUUGCCGUGCAGGUUGGAAGUUGUGGGAAAUCAAAUGAGAAACACAGCAGCGGCAUGCAGACCUCUAAAGAAUCAUUAAAUGGCUUGACAAGCCAUGGUAAAAACCUCAAAAUCCACCAUUCUCAGGAGUCUAAAACAUACAACAUUCUAAGGAAUGUUAAAGAAAAAGUUGGUGGGAAGCAGCCUGACAAAAUGUGGAUUGAUAAGACUAAAUUAGACAAGAAAUUAACCAAUAUAAGCAACGAAGCUCAAUUCAGCCAAAUGCCUCCCCAAGUAAAGGAUCAAAAGAAAUUAUAUCUGAAUAGAGUUGGGUUUAAAUGCACUGAACGUGAAAGCAUUUCUCUCACCAAAUUAGAAAGUUCACCCAGGAAGCUUCAUAAAGAUAAGAGACAGGAAAAUAAACAUAAGACCUUUUUACCGGUGAAAGGUAACACAGAAAAAUCAAACAUGCUGGAGUUUAAAUUAUGUCCAGAUAUCUUACUAAAGAAUACAAACUCUGUGGAAGAACGGAAGGAUGUAAAGCCUCAUCCCAGGAAGGAGCAAGCCCCUGUGCAAGUACUAAAGGAGAUGAUUAGCAAUAUCUAGAGUUCUGAAAAUGAAUAUUUAAAUAGUUUCAGGAAUAAAAAGUACAAAAGAAGACUGGUUAAAAUUUGUUGCUACAAAGAAAAGGACACAGAAAGACAGCCAAGAGAGAGAUAAUGUUAAUUCAAGACUCUCGAAGAGAAGCUUCAGUGCAGAUGGAUUUGAGAUGCUACAAAACCCAGUAAAAGAUUCAAAAGAAAUGUUUCAAACCUACAAACAGAUGUACCUGGAGAAGAGAAGCAGAAGCCUUGGUAGCAGUCCUGUAAAAUAAUUACAAGAUGUGGUUUUGUAAUUGCCACUGGGAAAUUUCUUUCCUUUUCUGUUCAAAAUAUUUCGCUGAAACUAAUGAGAAAUGCCAUGAUAAAGAUUUCUCAGAGUUUGGUUCCCACUUUCAUUGUAUUUCAUUGAAAGUGCUUAAUUAAAAUGGCUUGAGAACUUUGGGUAGCCAUGUGUAAGAAAUGGAUGGUAUUCACCGGGGAAACAUAAGGCAUUUGAAUUUCUACUUUAUUGAACCAGAUUUACCAUUAUUUUAAAAGGAAUGCUUAUACAAAUCAAUUUGAAAUUCUACCCAUCUUGAGGGAGGACUGUUCCUCAGUUAAGGACUUGUUUAUUUAAAUGGGACUGUAAAUAUGUUUUGGUUUCUAAGCUAUAUUAGCAAAAUUUAUUUUUCAAAAAUGCCCACUGUGAUGUGAAUGUCAAAAUAUAUUCUUAAGUGUUUUAUAACUAAUUGUAAACUUUUUUUCAGAAGUCUUAUUUUAUACUUGUGAAACUGAACACAAUUUUGGGACAACGUUUAAACAUUACUUUUCAUACUUGAAAUAAACAUUUAUUUUUUAAAAAACUAA